AGCAGCCGCGGUAAUUCCAGCUCCAAUAGCGUAUAUUAAAGUUGCUGCAGUUAAAAGCUCGUAGUUGAAUUUCGGGGUUAGCAGGUCGGUCGUGCCAUCGGUAUGAACUGGUCUCGCUGAUCCCUCCCUCUUGACGAACUGUGAUGCCAUUAAUUUGGUGUCGCAGGGGAUCAGGACUGUUACUUUGAAAAAUUAGAGUGUUUAAAGCAGGCUCACGCUUGAAUACAUUAGCAUGGAAUAAUGAAAUAGGACGUUUGAUCCUAUUUUGUUGGCUUCUAGGAUUGACGUAAUGAUUAAUAGGGAUAGUUGGGGGCAUUAGUAUUCAAUUGUCAGAGGUGAAAUUCUUGGAUUUAUUGAAGACUAACUACUGCGAAAGCAUUUGCCAAGGAUGUUUUCAUUAAUCAAGAACGAAAGUUAGGGAUCGAAGACGAUCAGAUACCGUCGUAGUCUUAACCAUAAACUAUGCCGACUAGGGAUCGGAUGAUGUUAAUUUUUAAUGUA
rnacentral:misc_RNA from 1 species